CGAUUGCACUGUGAAAUUGCUAUCCUAACAAAGAUAUCAUGUCAAUUGUUGAGGAGCUAUCCAAUUUCUUCAAAUCAUUGUGCUCUAAGGUGCUAGACAUAUCUGAACUUGCCAGCCUUAAAGAACAAGUUCUGAUGACACUGUAAAAUGGAGAAGUUAUUUAUUCCUUCCUUUUUCACUAUCAUGGUUCAUUUAAUUGUGCACCUGGUUGAUGAAUCUAAAUUAGGAGGUCCUGUAAACUAUAGAUGGAUGUACCCUUUUGAGAGAUAUUUUGUUCGGUUGAAGAGCUAUGCGCGUAAUCGUGCACAUCCCGAAGGGUCUAUAGCAGAGCGGAAGAAUGUUUAACAUUCUGUGCAAGAUUUCUCAAAGGGGUUGAUAAAUCUAGUCUUUCCAUGCCCACAAAUUCUGAACAAAAAAGUAUUUGUUUGAUAGCUUUGGGGAAACAAUAGGCUCUGCUCAAGAUGUGAAGUUUGAUGCAAAAACACUUACUCAGGCCCAUCGUUAUGUCUUACGACAUCUUGAUGAAAUAGAGGAUUUUCGUAGGUAUAGUACCUAACUGAACAUUACCUUUAAAAAAUAAAAUUUAUAAAAUAAUAUAAAUAUGCUAUUUGUAGAGAAUUUCUAGAGGAGGAGAAGAGAAAACAAAAGAAGUCAGUUUUCACUUCUUUUGAAUCUGACAAGUUGAUUAAUGAGCGAUUCCAUGAUUGGCUAUACCACAAGGUUAGUAUAAGUUAGGCAAAACAAGUCAGAUCAUGCAUGUACUUAUGUUUUGUAAAAUUAAUAUGCCUAAUGUUUAAAACCCAUGUUUUUAUUGGUUAUGCUUAAUGCUUGUGGUCCUGAUCCACGCAUCACGGAAAAUAUCAUAAAAAUAGCUGAAAAACCGUGUAACUAUGGAAGGAGAUUUGGUAGAUUCUUAAUUAAUGGGUUUAAAUUCCAUACUAUUUCUCGUGAGAAUAAUCUGCAAACUUAAAACAGUCGUGUUGUUAAUAUAUCUGAAGGUGAUGCCAUCAGCUAUUAUGGCCGUAUUACAGACAUUAUAGAGCUGAACUAUAAUGGAGCAUUUAAGGUCUUCUUAUUUAAGUGUGAUUGGUAUGAUGUGCACCAUCGCGUGGGUACGAGGGAAGAUGAGUUUGGUUUUACUCUUUUGAAUUUUUCGUGGGGUAUACACAUUGGAAAUAAGCUGAUGGACGAUCCAUUUAUUUUCUCUUCACAAGCUGAACAAGUAUUCUAUGUCCAAGAUUUGUUUGACAUGGGAAAGGUUGGAGAUGAAGAUGAUGAGAUAUGAGUUGUACAUGAUAUAUUUUGUUGCAUUUAUUUGCUGAAGGCAUUAGAGUUUUAGUUAUUUACAUUCAAAUAUAUUUUUAAUGUAUUUGUUUGUUCAAUUGAUUGGUAAUUUCUAUAAGACACUUCCAUUUAGUAACUGGAGAUAUGGAGAUGUGUGAUCUAGAGCUAUGUGUGGUCUCAUUUUGUCAUUUUAACUGGUAUGCAAUGGUUAUCUUGUUACUUAUAUAUUUAAAAUUCUAAUCCAUUUUUAAAUAUAGUGUGAAUGGCUGCGAGGUCCCAGACACUACAGGGCUUGGAUAUUUUGCAGAAUGGAGUGCAAAAUCAAGAAAUAGAUAUACCAAGGAAUGAUCAGUAUGUUGAAGAACAGAACAUAUCAAAUGAGAAUUGGCGCACAAACUGCUAUGAGUAUCGUAAGAUAUAUUGUUUAUUUUUCUGCAAAAUUGUUUCUUAUAUACUAACUUUUAAAACUUUGUAGAUCCUGAUGGACGUAUUAAAAGAUGUCGGGGACCAACAAAAUUGGCAAAUGUUUAAAAUCUUCCAGCUGGAGUUAAGAUUAUUGUCAAACUGGACCGUUUCAAUGCACCUUGCUGACAAUCUUCUGCAGUUCUUGGAUCCUAUUUAGGAACAUUAGAAGCCACAUCUAGCUCCACUGAAUAUUCUAAAAUGGAAUGAAAAUUUUUUUAAAAGAAUAUAUCAUCAAAAAAUGAUUACUGAAGUUGAGGUAUUUAUGUUUAGUUUACCAUGUUUUUAAAAUCAUACUGUUAUGGUGAUCCUAGUAUUAUUCCAUUGGCUCUUUUUUUUAUACAUUAGAGAAAGUUUGCAAUUGAUGGGAGAGCUAAGAGUUGGCUUCUCCAUCAGUUAGAUGGUAAAUGGAGGCAAUACAAGGGAAAACUGAAAGGAAAAUAUUACAAGCCUAACUUACCUAUGGAAUGAGUAUUGCAAACAGUGCCCAACACUGUUGAUGAAUCUCAAUGGCCUACACUAGUUUCCUACUGGUACUCAAAGGACUCUAAGAAAAUCAGUGACAGAAACCAAGAGAAUGCACUCAAGCAUCCACACACUUUAGGAAGAAAGAGUUUUACAAGAAAGAGAAAAGAACUGGAAGUUAAUGAGGUGGAGGUGGACCGAGAAACCUUCUUUGAUGAAUGCCAUAAGACAAAAGACGGUAGAUAUGUUACUGAUGCUACUCAAGAAAAAAUGGUACUAACAGGUAUCCCAAUAGUACAUAUUCCACGGCGCAAGCAGUUUAACUGAUUUGACAAUUGUUGUGGCAGUCUGCCAACAAAUUGCUAUCUAUUGAUAUGCCAUGUCACGUCAUUAUGCAAACAUCUAAAAAUUCUCACCAUUGGAAUGGCGUUAUGAGCAA